CACCGCGGUUAUACGAGAGACCCAAGUUGACAGCCCUCGGCGUAAAGAGUGGUUAAGAUAAUUUUAUAGACUAAAGCCGAACGACCUCAAAGCUGUUAUACGCACAUGAACGUACGAAGCUCAAUCACGAAAGUGGCUUUACCCUGCCUGACUCCACGAAAGCUAAGAUA
rnacentral:rRNA from 1 species